rnacentral:rRNA from 1 species
AAAGCCGGCUUAUGUUUCCAAAAUGCAUUCUAACCGAGAUCCAACAAAGGGUGUUGGUCAAUUAAGACAACAGGAAAGUGGUCAUGGAAGUCAAAAUCCACUAAGGAGUUUGUACCAACUCACUUGCCGAGUAAACUAGCCCCGAAAAUGGAUAGGCACUUAAGCGCGCGACCUACACUUAGCCGUCGGGGUUAGUGCCAGACCCCGAUG